rnacentral:rRNA from 1 species
GACGAACGCUGGCGGCGUGCCUAAUACAUGCAAGUUGAGCGCUGAAGGUUGGUACUUGUACCAACUGGAUGAGCAGCGAACGGGUGAGUAACGCGUGGGGAAUCUGCCUUUGAGCGGGGGACAACAUUUGGAAACGAAUGCUAAUACCGCAUAAAAACUUUAAAAACAAGUUUUAAGUUUGAAAGAUGCAAUUGCAUCACUCAAAGAUGAUCCCGCGUUGUAUUAGCUAGUUGGUGAGGUAAAGGCUCACCAAGGCGAUGAUACAUAGCCGACCUGAGAGGGUGAUCGGCCACAUUGGGACUGAGACACGGCCCAAACUCCUGCGGGAGGCAGCAGUAGGGAAUCUUCGGCAAUGGACGAAAGUCUGACCGAGCAACGCCGCGUGAGUGAAGAAGGUUUUCGGAUCGUAAAACUCUGUUGGUAGAGAAGAACGUUGGUGAGAGUGGAAAGCUCAUCAAGUGACGGUAACUACCCAGAAAGGGACGGCUAACUACGUG